rnacentral:lncRNA from 1 species
UUGGACCAAAAAUGCCCUCUAAAUGGUUACUCGUACCAUUGAAGCUGACAUGAAAGUCCAAUUAGGUUAGAUUUGCUUACAUGGCCAUACCCCAAAGCAAUCCAGCAUGGUAAAACUAAUUUUUCGAAAAAAGAAGUUGGGAAUUUUUUGUAUUAGGAAAAAUUAUUCUUGAUUGGACUUUAUGAUUUGAUUAAAAAACUACAUUGUUAUCUUUUGUGAAUUUAUGAUUAUUUUGAUCUUAAUUUUUAGAUACAUAUUCGAAUAAGCUCAAAAAUAACAUUACCAAAUGUGAUUAAUCUAAUUAAUGAGUUAUUAAUACUGACGAAUCAAUCAUAACCAGAAAACAAACUUUUAGACAUCAAUUUGUCAUCACAUGAGCAGUUAUGAAUAUAUGACGAGAGGUAUAUUGAAUAAAUUGCCAAAAGCAUCGAGAACUCGGAGAAAAGCAAUAACGAAUCGAUUCGAACUCCGGCGAACGAGAAACUCAUCGAAUGGUGUGAAUGGUAACAUGAACACUGGCCGAACAUUCUUCCAUAGCUAUUGAUUCAUGUCACCAUCCUCAACGUAUGCCAACAAAUAGACGAGGUAGGGUUUCAAAUCAUUUUGGACAAUUAAUGAUUAGUUUCCCGGAAUCUGGCCAAUCUUUGAAAUAGGCCAUCCUUAACAUUAAUCGACGUCUCACGUUGAAAAUAGAUAAUUCUAGUGGGUUUCAUCAUGAAUUGAGGGACAAGUCAAGAAAAAUUGACAAAAAGUUCAAAUUUUUAUUCUUAGAUCUCUAAUUCGGAGAAAAUGAGUGGUCUUUUGGAGAAAUCAAUGGAGGAAUAUAGGUGAGGGGGUAAUGGAGGUUGUUUGGUUGAAGUUUGAGGAAAUUUAGAGGUGGUCUACAGCUGUGAGAUGAUUUUCGGGCACAGAGGAAUGGCGGAUGUGGGUGGUAUUGAGAAAUUGUGAUUUCUGUUCUAAGUUUAAUUGGGGUGAAUUAUGAGGCCGGGGGUUGGGUGUAGUCAUUUAAUAAAGUAAAGAAGU